CUACCAGGCGCGUAGCAACCCGUACGCAAAAACGCAGUUGCGUACACAUCGAAAAUUUGACAAAAAUAAAAAUAUGGUAAAUCUAGUAAGAAUAAAACUUAAGUAAUAGAAUUAAUUAUAAAGAUGUUAUAAAAAUAUGUUAAUAGUCACUUUGUAAUUAUAUUCCGUUCCGGAAACUAGUUUUCUCUUUACAUUUUCGGGACCAGCAUCGUGAUUGUGCUGCUGAUGCAAACAAUUAAAAUAGCUGAGUCCUCGGGGUUUCAGAAUACAAUAAGUGCGUCUACUAUGCCUCCUUACCCUGACAUCUUUUCUGAAGAUUUCAAAAUGACUGAUGAAAUAAAACGUGAUGUUCUAUUAAUUAAGGGUAAUAUUUUUGCAACCUAUAUUCGCCGGGUUUUUUUUUGACGAUCAACGUGUUUUUUACUUUUUUAUUUUAUGUUCGGUCAUGCAAGAUGGGUGCCUCGUUCAUUUAAUUAUACGUGUCUCGAGAUUUAAAGUGCUUAUUCUCCAUGUGCAAAAUUUAAAGUGAUUGUUUUCCUUGCUUUGUAAAAAUAAAAGACUCGAUUUUGGAAAUUGAUAAAAAGAACUCAGAUUUAGUUUGAAGCUUUU
rnacentral:lncRNA from 1 species